UCUUCAAAAAUCUUUAUCUCACAAAAAGAUUGCAAGAUUUCAUCGGACUGAUGUUCUACUUUCGGUGGUCAGUCGAAGGUCCGCGCUCUGAUCGAUUGAUAUCUUUGUAUAUUUGAUCAGAGAUAGGUCCUGUAUAUUAAAUGUCGUCUUCGGUAAUUCGACUUCAGUGGUUUUAGAAAGAUUUUAGUUCCUUCCUGUAAGUCGUUAGGACUAUGUCUUGGUAAUUCGGCUCAGGUGGUCCUGAAAUGAUUUCUAAUUCCUUCUCGUGGUCGUUGUGGACACUAUGCAUUUAAUUACUAGGCCGCUGUCGUAACUCUCUGCUGAUCAACAAGGUUAUCAUUUGUUUGAUGAUUCUUAUAAAUCGACUAUUAUAUAAAAUUUAAAUUUUCUUAAUUUCUUUUUUUUCUUAUACAAUUUUUUUAUUGUGUCAAUAACUUUUCUUCGUUUAAAGUGGGUAUCUUUAAUAUCAAGUGAUAUCAAUGGGGUGCAUGAAUCUUUGAUUUAGUAUUAUUAUUAGGUGUAAAUUAAGGUAGAUUUAGUAUUAUUAUUAGGUCUAAAUUAAGAUAGAUUUAGUCUCAUCGCUGGACAUUGUGGGAUAAAUUUGUGGGGUAAAAAAUAUAAAAAAAAAAUGCUGUAAAGAUCAUUGUCAAGUUCUAUUGUAUAAUAAUUCAAAUAAUUAUUUCCUUUUAUGUAUUCAUAAUUCAUAUUUUUUUUAUAUUUCAGAUUUAUUUAAUUUUUAUAUUUAUUUAUAAUUUAUAUUUAUAUUUUUUUUAAUUUGUUAAAGUUAAUAAUUAAUUUUAAUUUUUUUUUUUUUAGUUUUAGGUGAGUCUCGAUGCAUAGUCACCUCCUCGUUGGUGAGACAUGGUAAUUGAUAUUGAUUUUUGUAUUAAUUGGAUUAAUCUUUGAAAAUUUUCUAAAAAUUAUUCUUUAAAAACGAUACCAAACUAAGAAUUACGGAGUGUCUACAGCUCAAUUUAAAUUAUUAAAUUCUUUUUGGAUAUUUUGGAUAUUUGAUAUUUUGAUAUUUCGUCUAGAUUGAGCUAUAGGUAGUAUUAGUAGUAUAGGUAGUAUAGGUAGUAUUAUUUUUGAUAUUUUGCAAAAUAUCAAAAUCAAAUUUAUAUUUUUAUUUAUUUGUUUUACAUUUAAGAUUUUUAAUUUAUUUUUAUUUCAUAUAAUUGUUUUUAUAUUUAAUUCUUUUCAGAUUCUUUUUUUUCAGGUUCUUUUUUUCAGAUUUAAUUUAUUCUUACAUUAAAUUAUUUUUUACAUUUCAUGCAUAUUUAAUAUGUAAUAUAUAUAAUAUACGUAAUAUUUGCAGUUCAAUUUAAGCAUUCCAUUUAAUUAUCUUGAUCAAUUGUUGAUAUACAUUGUUGAUAUAGUUGAUAUAUAUUGUUGAUGGAUAUAGUAUAAUAUGGACAUAUAGUAUAUAUAGACUGCAAAUACAAAUAAAAUCUGUACCAAGAUAUUAUCGUUUUUUAUUUUAUUCUUCAACAAUGUAAAUACUAAGUAAGUAUGAACAUAAAUUUUUUGAAGCAACUAAAAUAUCCCCGAUUAAGUUGCAAGUUGUAUUUACUGUACGCAUUUCGUAUCAAAAUAUUCUCCCUAACUUAAAGCGAAAACAAAAUUAUUUUACUUAUUCCCAAAUGAUUUCUUUUCUUGCCAUUCCAUCACAAAUUCCCAUUUAUAUUUAAAGUAUUCGUUUAUUUCUUCUAGAAUAUAUUCCUUUUUAUUUAUUAUUUUAAGAUGUUUGCAAAUUUUUCGUCGCUUUUUCUAAAUCGCUGUCAAUCACAAUAGUGGCAAUAUUGCACUGUCAUGCAAUAGUGCCUGGAGUUCCAUCGAUUUUCGUAAGUUCAUUGAUGUAAGUCGUAUGAGGGCGACAGAAAGAGUUGAUUUUUUUAUCGAUCGUAAGUUCUUCUUCUAAUGCUUAUUAUUUUUUUGGUCUGUAUUUACUUGCUUUUUGACUUCUCUUUUUUUUUUAUUGAAAUUUUAUUUAUUAUAAAUGAUUUAGUAUAAAUGAUUUUGAAUUUUUCUUUUUUUCGCUUUAAGUUAAACGAGAAUAUUUCUGAUACGAAUAAUAUUAAUAAAAUUGUUAUGUAUUGUAAAUUAUAGGUUUAAGAUUUUAAAAUAUAGUUUAAGUUAGUUUUAAGGUAUCAUCGUUGGACAACGUGGAAUUAAUUAGCGAGCGAAUAUAAAAAACUUUUGUAAAAAUCGUUGUAAAGAUCCAUUAAUAAAUAAUCAAAUAAUUAUGUCAUUUCAUAAUGUAUUUAUAAUUAAUAAAUAUUUCUUUUAUAUUUCUUUUCAUCUAUUUAUUGUUUUUAAUUAAUCUUUUAUAUUUUAUUUGUUAUUUUUUUAUAUUUAAUUUAUUUGAACUAAUCAUUAAUUUUAAUGUUUUUUUUUAUUUUUUAGGUUUAGGUGGGUCUCGAUGCGUAGUCACCUCCUCGUCGGUGAGACUCGGUAAUUGGCAUCGCUUUCAAAAAUCUUAUAUCACAAAAUUUAUUUCAUUAAAAAGUUUUCGAAAUAUUUUAAAUUUAUAAAUAUCAAAUAUAUUUCAUCAAUGAUAGUGUGUGGAAAGCGAUGGCAAGCUAAGAACUACGCACAUCUGCAGUCCAGUAUAAACUUUGUAUAAUAAUUAUUUAAUUAUUUUGAUUUUAAUUUUUAAUUAAUUAAACUGGACUGCAGAUAUUAGUUAUAAGUUAAUGCAAUAUAUGUAUUGGAUUAAAUUUAUUGUAAUAAGUGCGCUCCCGUUUAUUACAAUAAGUAUCAAAAUAUACUUCCUAAUUUAAAGCGAAAAAUAAAAAUUUUUAAUUUUCUUAUUCUUUUUUUAUAUUUUUUUUAUAUUCUCGAUUAUUUUAAUCUCAUGUCAUGCAACGGUGGUAGGAGUUGUUAGGCCGAUGCUCUACUUCCGGUGGCCAGUUAAGGGUCCGCGCUCUGAUUAGUAUCUUCGAGUACUCAAUUAGAGUUAGGUCUUGUGGUAGAACGUCGUCUUUGUAAUCCUAUGGUGGUCAGGGAUUUAUGCCUUGCUCCUUCCUGUGUUGUUGCGACAUAAGACGUUCAACUAUUAGGCCGUUGUCGUAACCCUCGAUUGGUCACUGGUGAGUAUCAUCUGUCCAUCGAUUUUCGUAAAUCCAUUGAUAUAAGUGAUAUGAGAGCGACAAAGACGGUUGAUUUUUCAUCAAUCACGUAUCUUUAUUCUUCUUUUAAUGUUUAUUAUUUACUUGAUCUGCAUUUACUUAACAUUUUUGAACAUUUUUAGUUCUCUUUUUUUUUAUUGAAGUAUUUUGUUUUAGUAUAAAUUAAUAAUAUUUUGAAUUUUUAUUUUUUUUGCUUUAAGUUAGACGAGAGUAUUCUUGAUACGAAUAAUAUUAAUAAAAAUGUUAUGUAUUAUAAAUUAUAGGUUUAAGAUUUUAAAAUAUAGUUUAAGUUAGUUUUAUAAGCAAUCAUCGUUGGACAACGUGCGAUUAAUUAGCGAGCGAAUGUAAAAAACUUUUGUAAAAAUCGUUGUAAAGAUCCAUUAUACAUUAAUUCAAAUAAUUAUGUCAUUUCAUUAAUGUAUUUACAAUUAAUGAAUAUUUCUUUUAUAUUUCUUUUAAUAUAUUUAUGUAUUGCUAUUAAUUAAUCUUUUAUAUUUUAUUUGUUAUUUUUCAUAUUUAAUUUAUUUGAAUUAAUCAUUAAUUUUAAUGUUUUUUUUUACUUUUUAAUCUUAGGUGGGUUUCGAUGCAUAGUUACCCACCUCGAUGUAACCCGGCAAUCUGCAGUCCAAUAAACUUUAUAUAAUUCAUUUAAUUAUUUUGAUUUUUAAUUUUUAAUUAAUUAAAUUGGACUGCAGAUAUUAGUUAUAAGUUAAUGUAUUAUAUGUAUUAGAUUAAAUUUAUUGUAAUAAGUGCGUUCCCGUUUAUUACAAAGUAUCAAGAUAUACUCUCUAAUUUAAAGCGAAAAAUAAAAAUUUUUAAUUUUCUUAUUCUUUUUUUAUAUUUUUUUUAUAUUCUCGAUUAUUUUAAUCUCAUGUCAUGUAACGGUGGUAGGAAUUGUUGGGCCGAUGAUACUUUCGGUGGCCAGUUAAGGGUCCGCGCUCUGAUUAGUAUCUUCGAGUACUCAAUUAGAGUUAGGUCUUGUGGUAGAACGUCGUCUUUGUAAUCCUAUGGUGGUCAGGGAUUUAUGCCUUGCUCCUUCCUGUGUCGUUGGGACAUAAGGCGUUCAACUAUUAGGCCGUUGUCGUAACCCUCGAUUGGUCACUGGUGAGUAUCAUCCGUCCAGCGACUUUCGUCCACCGAUGUAAGUCGUGACAUGAGGAUGAUAGAGAAGAUUAAUUUUUUAAGUUUUUUCUUCUUUUUCAUCAAUCAUCGGACUUUAGGUGUUUUUUUAAUACUUUUUAUUCUUUUAGAUCGCAUUUGAUACAUUUUUGAACAUUUGUAUUUUAAAUGCUCUUUAUAUUAUAAUUUUGUUUAUUAGUAAUGAUUAAUAUUUUUAAUUUUACUUUCUUCGCUUUAAAUUAGAUGAUAGUAUUUUUGAUACUUCUACAUUCUAUGUUAAUAGAAAUGUUAUAUAUAUUUUGGAUUUAGUAUUAACAUGUUAUUAUUUAGAUAAUUUAAGAUAACUUAAUAUCUCGAUGGACAAUAUGGGACAACGUGGGACAACAUAAGAUGACGAUGGACAACAUCAGACAACAUAAGAUGACGAUGGACAACAUCAGACAACAUAAGAUGACGAUGGACAACGGGGAACGACGUUGGACAAUGUAGGACAACUUGGAAUGACCUUGGAUGACGAUGGACAAAGCGAAAAAUUUUUAGGUGAGUCUCGAUGCAUAGUCACCUCCUCGUUGGUGAGACAUGGUAAUUGAUAUUGAUUUUUGUAUUAAUUGGAUUAAUCUUUGAAAAUUUUCUAAAAAUUAUUCUUUAAAAACGAUACCAAACUAAGAAUUACGGAGUGUCUACAGCUCAAUUUAAAUUAUUAAAUUCUUUUUGGAUAUUUUGGAUAUUUGAUAUUUUGAUAUUUCGUCUAGAUUGAGCUAUAGGUAGUAUUAGUAGUAUAGGUAGUAUAGGUAGUAUUAUUUUUGAUAUUUUGCAAAAUAUCAAAAUCAAAUUUAUAUUUUUAUUUAUUUGUUUUACAUUUAAGAUUUUUAAUUUAUUUUUAUUUCAUAUAAUUGUUUUUAUAUUUAAUUCUUUUCAGAUUCUUUUUUUUCAGGUUCUUUUUUUCAGAUUUAAUUUAUUCUUACAUUAAAUUAUUUCAUGCAUAUUUAAUAUGUAAUAUAUAUAAUAUAUGUAAUAUUUGCAGUUCAAUUUAAACAUUCCAUUUAAUUAUCUUGAUCAAUUGUUGAUAUACAUUGUUGAUAUAGUUGAUAUAUAUUGUUGAUAUGGAUAUAGUAUAAUAUGGACAUAUAGUAUAUAUAGACUGCAAAUACAAAUAAAAUCUGUAUCAAGAUAUUCUCGUUUUUUAUUUUAUUCUUCAACAAUGUAAGUACUAAGUAAGUAUGAACAUAAAUUUUUUGAAGCAACUAAUAAAAUAUCCCCGAUUAAGUUGCAAGUUGUAUUUACUGUACGCAUUUCGUAUCAAAAUAUUCUCCCUAACUUAAAGCGAAAACAAAAUUAUUUUACUUAUUCCCAAAUGAUUUCUUUUCUUGCCAUUCCAUCACAAAUUCCCAUUUAUAUUUAAAGUAUUCGUUUAUUUCUUCUAGAAUAUAUUCCUUUUUAUUUAUUAUUUUAAGAUGUUUGCAAAUUUUUCGUCGCUUUUUCUAAAUCACUGUCAAUCACAAUAUUGCACUGUCAUGCAAUAGUGGCAGGACUUCCAUCGAUUUUCGUAAGUUCAUUGAUGUAAGUCGUUUAGGGGCGACAGAAAAAGUUGAUUUUUUAUCGAUCGUAAGUUCUUCUUCUAAUGCUUAUUAUUUUUUUGGUCUGUAUUUACUUGCUUUUUGACUUCUCUUUUUUUUUUAUUGAAAUUUUAUUUAUUAUAAAUGAUUUAGUAUAAAUGAUUUUGAAUUUUUCUUUUUUUCGCUUUAAGUUAAACGAGAAUAUUUCUGAUACGAAUAAUAUUAAUAAAAUUGUUAUGUAUUGUAAAUUAUAGGUUUAAGAUUUUAAAAUAUAGUUUAAGUUAGUUUUAAGGUAUCAUCGUUGGACAACGUGGAAUUAAUUAGCGAGCGAAUAUAAAAAACUUUUGUAAAAAUCGUUGUAAAGAUCCAUUAAUAAAUAAUCAAAUAAUUAUGUCA